rnacentral:rRNA from 1 species
CAUUCACGGAGAGUUUGAUCCUGGCUCAGGACGAACGCUGGCGGCGUGCUUAACACAUGCAAGUCGAACGAUGAACCACUUCGGUGGGGAUUAGUGGCGAACGGGUGAGUAACACGUGGGCAAUCUGCCCUGCACUCUGGGACAAGCCCUGGAAACGGGGUCUAAUACCGGAUACAACCACUGACCGCAUGGUCGGGUGGUGGAAAGCUCCGGCGGUGCAGGAUGAGCCCGCGGCCUAUCAGCUUGUUGGUGAGGUAAUGGCUCACCAAGGCGACGACGGGUAGCCGGCCUGAGAGGGCGACCGGCCACACUGGGACUGAGACACGGCCCAGACUCCUACGGGAGGCAGCAGUGGGGAAUAUUGCACAAUGGGCGAAAGCCUGAUGCAGCGACGCCGCGUGAGGGAUGACGGCCUUCGGGUUGUAAACCUCUUUCAGCAGGGAAGAAGCGAAAGUGACGGUACCUGCAGAAGAAGCGCCGGCUAACUACGUGCCAGCAGCCGCGGUAAUACGUAGGGCGCAAGCGUUGUCCGGAAUUAUUGGGCGUAAAGAGCUCGU